rnacentral:tRNA from 1 species
GGGGAAGUGUCGGAACUGGUAGACGAGCGUGAUUUAGGAUCACGUGGAGAUUUCUCCGUGAGAGUUCGAGUCUCUCCUUCCCCACCA